AUACAGAGAAGAUUAGCAUGG
rnacentral:siRNA from 1 species